GAGUUUGAUGAUGGCUCUGAAUGAACGCUGUCCAAAUGCUUGACACAUGCUAAUCGAACGAAAACGCGUAGUCGUAACUGGAAGGUUGAUCGACCACAAUGUGGCAUGGUUAAAGCCCAUUGACAACAGCAGUGAGGGAUAUUGGUCAAUAGCCUAACGGCUGAACCAGCAACUUGGAGGAAUUUUUAGCAUGGCUAUAAUGUAAUAAUUGUUACAUAAAUCGAUUUACUCGAAUAAGAUUCAAGGUAGAUAAUGAUAAUGACAUUUUCUAUUUAUAAGUCUUGACCAAUUUACGUGCCAGCAGUCGCGGUAAGACGUGAGAGGCUAGCGUUAUUCAUCUUUAAUAGGUUUAAAGCGUUCCUAGACGGUUAAUUAAGGCUUUUAUACUAGAAGGUAAUUAGUCUACUAAUUAAACUAGAGUUACAUGUAAGGGUGAUUUAAAGUACUAAUGAGUGUAGAGAUGAAAUUCUUUGAUACGAAAUAUGUAAGUAAGGCACAGGUAACGGCGAAAGCAUCAUCUUAUGUAAUAACUGACGUUAAAGGACGAAGGCUCUUAAGAACUAAAAGGAUUAGAUACCCAAGUAGUUGGAGCAGAAAAUGAUGAAUGUCAUAGAUUAGAUUUGAUUUAAAUUUAGUUUAUAAAUGAAAGUGUAAGCAUUCCACCUCGAGAGUAGUUUGGCAACAUUGGAAUCGAAAUCAUUAGUCCGUUUCUGAUACAAGUAGUGAAGUAUGUUGUUUAAUUUGAUAAUCCGCAAAAAACCUUACCACAAUUUGAAUAUUAUAAUUAUAUUAUAAUUACAAGCGUUGCACGGCUGUUUUAAGUUAAUAUCGUGAGAUUUUGGUAAAUCCAACAAUUAACGUAAACCCUUACUUUAUUUUUAUAUAUGGUAGCAACACUCGACUAACAGAGUGCGUAAUAGGGACUAAGACAAGUCAUCAUGGCCUAAAUAUUGUGGGCUAUAGACGUGCCACAUAUUCCAUAUCAAAAGGAUGCGAAAUUGCGAAAUUGAGCUAAUCCCAGUAAAACUGGAUAUAAUAUUAAUGGAUUGUAGUCUGUAAUCUCGACUGCGUGAAAUAGGAAUUACUAGUAAUCGUGUAUAAGUACGGCACGGUGAAUUUUAUCUCAGAUUGGUACUAACCACUCGUCAGACGCUGAAAAUUGUACGUGCAAUAAGUUUGGUUUUAUUUAAUUAUUAAUCUGGAAAAGAGAUCCGGAAUUUUUAAUGAUAAUUUUCGUAUGCGCGACUUUGAUUAGGGUUAAGUCGAAAUACGGUUCGUGUAGUGGAAGUUGC
rnacentral:rRNA from 1 species